rnacentral:rRNA from 1 species
AGCAACCUGCCCUGGACUCUGGGAUAAGCGCUGGAAACGGCGUCUAAUACUGGAUAUGAGACGUGAUCGCAUGGUCGUGUUUGGAAAGAUUUUUCGGUCUGGGAUGGGCUCGCGGCCUAUCAGCUUGUUGGUGAGGUAAUGGCUCACCAAGGCGUCGACGGGUAGCCGGCCUGAGAGGGUGACCGGCCACACUGGGACUGAGACACGGCCCAGACUCCUACGGGAGGCAGCAGUGGGGAAUAUUGCACAAUGGGCGGAAGCCUGAUGCAGCAACGCCGCGUGAGGGAUGACGGCCUUCGGGUUGUAAACCUCUUUUAGCAGGGAAGAAGCGAAAGUGACGGUACCUGCAGAAAAAGCGCCGGCUAACUACGUGCCAGCAGCCGCGGUAAUACGUAGGGCGCAAGCGUUAUCCGGAAUUAUUGGGCGUAAAGAGCUCGUAGGCGGUUUGUCGCGUCUGCUGUGAAAUCCCGAGGCUCAACCUCGGGCCUGCAGUGGGUACGGGCAGACUAGAGUGCGGUAGGGGAGAUUGGAAUUCCUGGUGUAGCGGUGGAAUGCGCAGAUAUCAGGAGGAACACCGAUGGCGAAGGCAGAUCUCUGGGCCGUAACUGACGCUGAGGAGCGAAAGGGUGGGGAGCAAACAGGCUUAGAUACCCUGGUAGUCCACCCCGUAAACGUUGGGAACUAGUUGUGGGGACCAUUCC